UUGUAAAGCUUGUGCUGUCAGUCGUC
rnacentral:piRNA from 1 species